rnacentral:ncRNA from 1 species
GCAGAGAAGCUUAUGUGCGUUAAGUGCCUUCGGACGGGAUGAGGCCCGGAGGACGAAAAACGACAACACGUGUUUGCGGUACAUAUGCUCGCAUCC